rnacentral:rRNA from 1 species
GAUGAACGCUAGCGGCGGGCUUAAUACAUGCAAGUCAAGGGGUAGCAAUACACCGGCGUACGGGUGCGUAACGCGUAUGGAACCUGCCCUUAUCUGGGGGAUAACUCGGGGAAACUCGAGCUAAUACCGCAUAAGAUAGUAAAGAGGCAUCUCUUAGCUAUUAAAGAUUUAUCGGAUAAGGAUGGCCAUGCGUAAGAUUAGAUAGUUGGCGAGGUAACGGCUCACCAAGUCUACGAUCUUUAGGGGCUCUGAGAGGAGAAUCCCCCACACUGGCACUGAGAUACGGGCCAGACUCCUACGGGAGGCGGCAGUAGGAAAGAUUGGGAAAUGGGCGGAAGCCUGACCCAGCCACGCCGCGUGCAGGAAGACGGCCCUCUGGGUUGUAAACUGCUUUUAACUGGGGAGAAAGCAGCUCAUGCUUGAGAAUUUGACGGUACCAGUUGAAUAAGCCACGGCUAACUACGUGCCAGCCGCCGCGGUAAAAC